rnacentral:rRNA from 1 species
CCCGCUGAACUUAAGCAUAUCAAUAAGCGGAGGAAAAGAAACUAACAAGGAUUCCCCUAGUAACUGCGAGUGAAGCGGGAAAAGCUCAAAUUUAAAAUCUGGCGGUCUUGCGGCCGUCCGAGUUGUAAUCUGGAGAAGCGUUUAUCCGCGUCGGACCGUGUGCAAGUCUUCUGGAAGGGAGCGUCGUAGAGGGUGAGAAUCCCGUCUUUGACACGGACAACCGGUGCUUUUGUGAUGCGCUCUCGAAGAGUCGAGUUGUUUGGGAAUGCAGCUCAAAAUGGGUGGUAAAUUCCAUCUAAAGCUAAAUAUUGGCGAGAGACCGAUAGCGAACAAGUACCGUGAGGGAAAGAUGAAAAGCACUUUGGAAAGAGAGUUAAACAGUACGUGAAAUUGUUGAAAGGGAAACGUUUGAAGUCAGUCGCGUCGGCCGAGACUCAACCUUGCUUCUGCUCGGUGCACUUCUCGGUUGACGGGUCAGCAUCAAUUUUGACUGCUGGAAAAAGGCUUAGGGAAUGUGGCAGCUUCGGCUGUGUUAUAGCCCUUGGUCACAUACAGCGGUUGGGAUUGAGGAACUCAGCACGCCGCAAGGCCGGGUUUCGACCACGUUCGUGCUUAGGAUGCUGGCAUAAUGGCUUUAAGCGACCCGUCUUGAAACACGG